AUGCUAACUGCCUCUCAAGCGUCAUCUACAUUUGGAAACCACUGUGCACUGAUUCAUACAUAAUAUACGAAGCCUUCAGAGGAUCCAACGACUGACUUCUCAAAAUGAACUGACUUGCUCAAGGAAAUUGGUAUCAGCUAAAAGAACAGUCAAGUCCCCUGUGCAAUAGGAAGCCUGGGAGUAGUCUGUAAAUACAGCAGAGCUUUUCUUUGCAAUCAGUAGAUGUUGUGAUUUAUUGUCACUUCCUUACCUAAGAGAACUUGAGAAGACAUAAGUAAGAAAAGACCAACUGUACCAAAUCAAGCACUGAACUGAAUCAAAUCUUUUAAAAAUUGUACUUUCAAAAGAACAAGGAUUCUUUAACCAAAAGGAAAAGAUUACUUAAGUGCUGUUGUCAUUGAUUAUACAAAAUGCACCUCACAGUCUCCCGUUAAAAACACGUACAAACAAGCAAAUGAGAAAACUCCAUGAAGUCCUUUAGUUAAAGGGAUGUAAAACACUUCAGGUGUGUUAGAAAUAAUCAUAUGAACACUACUUCAGUUUAUAGAAUUCUCCUGGUUUUCCAGGCACAAUUAGUUUCAAAAGUAUUGUCACAGUUUUAUAAUUUUGUUAUUUGCACUCCAUAUCAUAACAUCAUGUAAAGCACUGGGAAUUAAAGAGUUAAUACUCCAGUUCAAUGGGCUGACAACUUUUCAGAUACCUGGUUUUCAGAAGAGAAAGAAGAAGUACAUACUCCAGACGACUUCACGUCCAGAGGGGAAGAUAGUUCACGGGAGGAAGUCACAGGACUCUCUCUCACUGCCUGGCAGUGUGUGGGUGUGCUCCCCAGCUGUGCACCUUCAAGUCAAAGUCAUGGUUUUCAGUUUCGGACACUCUCUCAUUUUAUUUGAUUUAUUAGCUUCAAUUCCAAUUAUUUUGUAUUAUAUUGUAUUAUAUUGUAUUAUAUUGUAUUAUAUUGUAUUAUCUUGUAUUCUGAUACCAUAUUUAGUAAAAUUAAGUUUCCUCCCUA